GAUGAACGCUGGCGGCGUGCCUAAUACAUGCAAGUCGAGCGAACAGACGAGGAGCUUGCUUCUCUGACGUUAGCGGCGGACGGGUGAGUAACACGUGGAUAACCUACCUAUAAGACUGGGAUAACUUCGGGAAACCGGAGCUAAUACCGGAUAAUAUAUUGAACCGCAUGGUUCAAUAGUGAAAGACGGUUUUGCUGUCACUUAUAGAUGGAUCCGCGCCGCAUUAGCUAGUUGGUAAGGUAACGGCUUACCAAGGCAACGAUGCGUAGCCGACCUGAGAGGGUGAUCGGCCACACUGGAACUGAGACACGGUCCAGACUCCUACGGGAGGCAGCAGUAGGGAAUCUUCCGCAAUGGGCGAAAGCCUGACGGAGCAACGCCGCGUGAGUGAUGAAGGUCUUCGGAUCGUAAAACUCUGUUAUUAGGGAAGAACAAAUGUGUAAGUAACUAUGCACGUCUUGACGGGACCUAAUCAGAAAGCCACGGCUAACUACG
rnacentral:rRNA from 1 species